GUGAGCUCCAUCAUCUUGAACAGAUCAUUCCCAUCUCUCAAAUUGGCAUCUCCUCCAUCUGCAUGUUGGGAUGCUGAUGGUGCCCAUUGCACUGCAAAGAGCCAGGAGGUCUGCACCCCUCAUUUGUCAGCUGUCCCUGCUCACUCCAGGUCUCUGUGGCCGCACCUCAGGCACUUGGGUUGUUGGAUCCACAUCAGGAAAGAGCUACUCAGAGAGCACCAAUACCCUCACAGGGGACACCCCCUGCAGAAAUGGCCUUUCCCAGGCCUGGCAAGCUCCCUGCUGGUGUGAGGUUCUCAGGCACUGUGCUCUGGGUUGCUAACUAUGGAGGGACCUCACAAGCCUUUGAAAACAGCGAGAGGACUCAGAGAAGCAAAGUUAAACUCACCAGGAGCAGAAGACAAAAGGAAAACUGGCAUAAAACCAGAACUUACUCCAUCCGUGUCAUCGAUAUAACUGGAUCAGCCGCCCUUCUCCCAUCCAGCCUGGCUUUAUAUCUCUAAGUAAUGGAAAUAAGAGCUGGGAAGCACAGCAAUCUUUGGCCUCAUCACGAUUUCUCCAAGCAGCCUGCCUGAUCUCCAAUGGACAUCUACGAGGCGAGGAGGAGACUAUUUCAAGAUGGAUCACCUUCUGCUUCCCAGAAGUGCCUCCUUAGCCGUCGGCACAGCCCAUCCACCUGUGGCAUCAGACUGUCUUGCACCCUUUCCCAAAGCCAGAGGUGGUGCCAACAGUGCAGCUGCUGAGCCACUGGAGCAGGCACAUGGUGGUGCCCCCAAGGCCGGUGCCAAUUGUCCCACUGCCACUGCACGGUGCUGUUUGUCUGGCAGAGCUCUGUGGCUGGGCUGUCCCAGUGUGGAUCCCUUAUCCAUGUGGUUGUCAUUAAUUCCAUCACUGCAAACAUCAUCCUGAGGUAUCGGGCUGCAUUGAGCUAUCAAUCUCUGUUUGCCAAUUCCUUUGUAGAGCAAACAGCCCAAAAGGAAAGAGAGGAGAAGAAAAGAGGCAAACAAUUCCUUUUGCCCAUUGGCUUGUGCAAAGCACUCGCUGUAAAAUAGCCCCCACAGCCCCACACUAUGUCCCUCAUGCAGAGGAACGAGUCAGGAAUUCCAUGCUCCAACUGCUACCACUGAACUGUCCCUAUAGGUUGGCCGAGGACCGUGGCUUGCUGAGCAGCUGCUUGUUUACCUACCGCCCAUUUCCAUGGCGUGGGAGUGCAGCCACAUUCCUGCGAGCCCCGACUGCUCCCCGCCUCUCCGACCCAUCCGCGUGCCACCGGGGAAGCACAGAGCUGAUGUUUGACAAGAAACGCUGCCAAGGAUGCUCAGCGCUGCGCUGAGCUUGCUGAACCAGCCAGCUCAGCAACAGGGUGUAAACCAUGGCAGGGAUGGGGCUGUGGGUGGAUGGAUGCGACCUUACGCCAUCAUGGGGUCUGAUCUGUUUUGGGGGCUGAGCUCUGGGGCUGUGCAGCAGGGCUGUCCCAGUGGGAAACUCAGCCAAGGGGCUCAGCUCGGUGCAUGCAGUUCCCCCUCUCUACCCAAAUGCAAAUGCACCUCUUGUGUUCACUGCAGUUUGUGGCCUCAGCAGAGAGGGGAAAGGCUGUUCCUGCCCAGCUGUGGUGGGAAGCACGUGGCAGCCAGUGUUUUUCCGGGGGAUGCUGCACUUCAAAGGCUCAGAGAUGUGUCCCCAUUGCCUGGGGCUGCAGCGGCCCACGGCUGGGUGGAAGCUGCUGUGUCAGCAGCCAUAGUGGGGAGAUGAGCCGUGCUGAGCAAUGGCUUCCAGCUGGGGUCAGCCCCACAGCCUCCACCCAACCUUUGCUCCUCAGAGCAUCCCCCACUGCACAGCGCCCCAGGAACCCACCCAGGACAGCAGCAUUUCUCUCACUCCCUCACCUACAAGCACCCAGUUGUGCCAUUUGGAGAACAUUGCCUCUCCUUUGCCAAGUGUUUUGGGUUUGCUGCAUGGCCCGCUUGCACUGUGCAUUGCACACCAUCCCAUGCCCAAACGCAGCCCCUUGUCUGAGCUGCACCACCAAGAAGUGCCCCCCUAUAGAGGCAGCAUCCCCUUGAGUGAACCUAACAAAUGCAUCAGAGUUUAUCAGGGUGCUGAUGUCACUUUGACUGUUUUUUGCUCUUCCCCUCCGAAGGAGCCACACGUUGUGUAAAAAGAAAAAAUUCCCACCUUAAUGGUGGCUGAAUUAUUUAAAUGGG
ensembl:lncRNA